rnacentral:rRNA from 1 species
GACGAACGCUGGCGGCGUGCUUAACACAUGCAAGUCGAACGUGAUUUUUGUGGAAGUUCCUUCGGGAAUGGAAGUAAAAUGAAAGUGGCGAACGGGUGAGUAACACGUGAGCAACCUACCUUACACAGGGGGAUAGCCGUUGGAAACGACGAUUAAUACCGCAUGAGACCACAGUACCACAUGGUAUAGGGGUAAAAGAUUUAUCGGUGUAAGAUGGGCUCGCGUCUGAUUAGCUAGUUGGAAGGGUAAAGGCCUACCAAGGCAACGAUCAGUAGCCGGUCUGAGAGGAUGAACGGCCACAUUGGAACUGAGACACGGUCCAAACUCCUACGGGAGGCAGCAGUGGGGAAUAUUGCACAAUGGGGGGAACCCUGAUGCAGCGACGCCGCGUGAGCGAAGAAGGUUUUCGAAUCGUAAAGCUCUGUCCUAUGAGAAGAUAAUGACGGUAUCAUAGGAGGAAGCCCCGGCUAAAUACGUGCCAGCAGCCGCGGUAAUACGUAUGGGGGCGAGCGUUGUCCGGAAUUAUUGGGCGUAAAGGGUACGUAGGCGGCCUAUUAAGUCAGGGUGUGAAAGCGUGAGGCUUAACCUCAUUAAGCACUUGAAACUGGAAGGCUUGAGUGAAGGAGAGGAAAGUGGAAUUCCUAGUGUAGCGGUGAAAUGCGUAGAUAUUAGGAGGAAUACCGGUGGCGAAGGCGACUUUCUGGACUUUUACUGACGCUCAGGUACGAAAGCGUGGGAGCAAACAGG